rnacentral:rRNA from 1 species
CGUAGGGUGCGAGCGUUAAUCGGAAUUACUGGGCGUAAAGUGUGCGCAGGCGGCUCCGCAAGUCGAGUGUGAAAUCCCCGAGCUUAACUUGGGAAUUGCGCUCGAAACUACGGAACUGGAGUGUGGCAGAGGAAGGUGGAAUCCCACGUGUAGCGGUGAAAUGCGUAGAGAUGUGGAGGAACACCGAUGGCGAAGGCAGCCUUCUGGGCCAACACUGACGCUCAUGCACGAAAGCGUGGGGAGCAAACAGGAUUAGAUACCCUGGUAGUCCACGCCCUAAACGAUGAUGACUAGUUGUUGGAGGAGUUAAAUCCUUUAGUAACGCAGCUAACGCGUGAAGUCAUCCGCCUGGGGAGUACGGUCGCAAGAUUA